CAGUCAAUAGAACAUGUAGUCAAUACAUUUUUGAAAUAUGUAUGCUGAGAUCACCACCUUUGCCAGAGAAAAGCCUGCCUUUAUAUGGAGCCUUUAUGGGAUCCAUUUAGGAUUUGAAACAGUUUGUUCAACUCCAUCAUCAAAGUGAACAUUUGCAACAAGGACAACUUUUGGCAAAACAUCCAUGUGAUUAAAGCAUGACAGAGG